rnacentral:rRNA from 1 species
AUUAGGGUUAGCUCCUGGCUCAGAAUCAACGCUGGCGGCGCGCUUAACACAUGCAAGUCGAACGAGCAAGCCCGCAAGGGGGAGUAAAGUGGCGUACGGGUGAGUAACACGUGGGUAAUCUAACCUUUUGGUGGGGAAUAACCCUGGGAAACCGGGGCUAAUACCGCAUAAGCUCGAAAGAGGAAAGGAGCAAUUCGCCGAAAAAGGAGCCCGCGGGUGAUUGCUAGUUGGUGAGGUAAAGGCUCACGGAAGGCAAUGAUCGGUAGCCGGCCUGAGAGGGCACACGGCCACACUGGCACUGAAACACGGGCCAGACUCCUACGGGAGGCAACAGUGGGGAAUCUUGCCCAAUGGGGGAAACCCUGAUGCAGCGACGCCGCGUGCGCGCGAAGCCCUACGGGGUGUAAAGCUCUUUCGGCAGGGACAAUAAUGACGGUACCUGAAGAAGAAGCUGCGGCUAACUACGUGCCAGCAGCCGCGGUAAUACGUAGGCAGCGAGCGAUGUUCGGAGUUACUGGGCGUAAAGAGUGCGUAGGCGGUCUUCUAAGUUUGAUGUGAAAUGUCCGGGCUUAACUAGGAGGAUCCGCCGAAGACUGGAAGGCUUGAGUAUGGGAGAGAAAGCGGAAUUCCUGGUGUAGCGGUGAAAUGCGUAAAUAUCAGGAGGAACACCUGCGGUGUAGACGGCUUACUGGACCACUAACUGACGCUGAUGCACGAAAGCGUGGGUAGCAAACAGGAUUAGAUACGCUGGUAGGCACGCCCUAAACGAUGCAUACGUGG